GGGUCAGUAGGUUGGUCGUGCCACCGGUACGUACUGGUCUCACUGAUUCCUCCUUCCUGAAGAACCGUAAUGCCAUUAAUUUGGUGUUGCGGGGAAACAGGACUGUUACUUUGAAAAAAUUAGAGUGUUUAAAACAAGCUAACGCUUGAAUACAUUGGCAUGGAAUAAUGAAAUAGGACGAUCGAUCCUAUUUUGUUGGUUUCUAGGAUUGACGUA
rnacentral:rRNA from 1 species